rnacentral:rRNA from 1 species
CAGGCCUAACACAUGCAAGUCGAGGGGCAGCAUUUCCAGCUUGCUGGAAGAUGGCGACCGGCGCACGGGUGAGUAACGCGUAUGCAACCUGCCUUAUACCGGGGGAUAGCCCAGAGAAAUCUGGAUUAAUACCGCAUAAUAAUUAAGAACUGCAUGGUUUUUAAUUUAAAACUCCGGUGGUAUAAGAUGGGCAUGCGUAACAUUAGCUUGUUGGUAAGGUAACGGCUUACCAAGGCAACGAUGUUUAGGGGGUCUGAGAGGAUAGUCCCCCACACUGGUACUGAGACACGGACCAGACUCCUACGGGAGGCAGCAGUGAGGAAUAUUGGUCAAUGGACGCAAGUCUGAACCAGCCAUGUCGCGUGCAGGAUGACGGCCCUAUGGGUUGUAAACUGCUUUUUUACAGGAAUAAUGUUAUCUACGUGUAGAUAUUUGAAGGUACUGUAGGAAUAAGGAUCGGCUAACUCCGUGCCAGCAGCCGCGGUAAUACGGAGGAUUCGAGCGUUAUCCGGAUUUAUUGGGUUUAAAGGGUCCGUAGGCGGGCUUGUAAGUCAGUGGUGAAAUCUCACAGCUCAACUGUGAAACUGCCAUUGAUACUGCAGGUCUUGAAUUUAGUUGAG